GGGGAGGAGAGAAGGAGGAAGCUGAAGUGCCACCUAUUCAUGUUCCGCGAUGUAACACCCCUUAUUUUCCAUGCUGGGUAAAGACAAAAACCCUUUACAACCUGUUUCUGGAACUUGUCAGCAGCUGCCAAGAGGAGCAUGUUAAUUAAACGUCGGCAAAGAUGGAAGCCGGAGGCCCCGGCUCUAAUUGGACAGUUUGCUUCACCGGAUUGAAAAACAUUGUGACAAAGGAGGAGACUACCUCCCUUCCCCGGGCUUCCGUGUUCUCAUCCGCAAAACGUGGGAAAUGAAGUCUACCUCGGAUUCAGUCACGAGUGUUAAAGGGAUAGUUGGCAUACGACAGCUGGAUGACAAAUGUCAACAGCGCUGAUGGACAUCACACUGAAGCCCCACUUCUGUUUGUGCACAGCAUCAGGGUUACACGAGGGGGUGGCUCAGUGGUUAAGAAGGCUUACUGCUUUUCCAGAGGAUGGGAGUUUAGUUCCCAGAACCAUGUUCCAGUUACAUAGCAUUCAAUACCCUCCUCUGACCACUGAAGACACUGUGCUCUUGUGUGCAUACCACCCCCCACACGUACAAAUAUACACAGUUAAAAAUAAAAUAAAUCUUAAAAAAAGAUCUA
rnacentral:lncRNA from 1 species